rnacentral:rRNA from 1 species
GAGUGAACGCUGGCGGUAGGCCUAACACAUGCAAGUCGAACGGCAGCACAGUAAGAGCUUGCUCUUACGGGUGGCGAGUGGCGGACGGGUGCGGAAUACAUCGGAAUCUACUUUUUCGUGGGGGAUAACGUAGGGAAACUUACGCUAAUACCGCAUACGACCUACGGGUGAAAGCAGGGGAUCUUCGGACCUUGCGCGAUUGAAUGAGCCGAUGUCGGUUUAGCUAGUUGGCGGGGUAAAGGCCCACCAAGGCGACGAUCCGUAGCUGGGCUGGGAGGAUGAUCAGCGGCACUGGAACUGAGACACGGUCCAGGCUCCUGCGGGAGGCAGCAGUGGGGAAUAUUGGACAAUGGGCGCAAGCCUGAUCCAGCCAUACCGCGUGGGUGAAGAAGGCCUUCGGGUUGUAAAGCCCUUUUGUUGGGAAAGAAAAGCAGCAGGUUAAUACCCCGCUGUUCUGACGGUACCCAAAGAAUAAGCACCGGCUAACUUCGUG